rnacentral:tRNA from 1 species
GUGCGAUCUAUGCAGGUAGAUUACCUAUUUGCUCAGGUCAGGCACAAAUAAAUAGCAACGCCAUUGAACUGGUUCAAUCCCAGUAUCGCGCACCA